rnacentral:rRNA from 1 species
UCAUUCAGUUGGGCACUCUAGCGAGACUGCCGGUAAUAAACCGGAGGAAGUGGGGAUGACGUCAAAUCAUCAUGCCCCUUAUGACCUGGGCUACACACGUGCUACAAUGGUUGGUACAACGAGUUGCGAGUCGGUGACGGCGAGCUAAUCUCUUAAAGCCAAUCUCAGUUCGGAUUGUAGGCUGCAACUCGCCUACAUGAAGUCGGAAUCGCUAGUAAUCGCGGAUCAGCACGCCGCGGUGAAUACGUUCCCGGGCCUU